rnacentral:tRNA from 1 species
AAAUAAGAAGUAUUUACUUAAUACAUAUAACUUCGACUUAUAAAAUGAAUAAAUUAAUUAUUCCUUAUUUA